ensembl:snRNA U6 U6 spliceosomal RNA
AUGUUCAUUCAAGAAGCACAUAGACUAAAAUUGGAAUGAUGCACUGAAGAUUAGCAUGUCCCCUGCACAAGGACAACACACAUAUUGUACAAAACACUCAGGGUGUGU